CUCCUGACCUCAGGUGAUUACCCGCUUCGGCCUCCCAAAGUGCUGGGAUUACAGGCGUGAGCCACCACGCCCACCCCUAGGACAAGUCAGAUUUUUGAACUGGGCAUUGUACCGCCAAUCUCAGAUGACAACUUUUUGAUGUAGGGACUAUUUUGGCGUGUCCCACACACAGUAUCAAGGGAGACGGGGGGUACAAGAAGAAGCAGAGUGAGACCAGAGUGGAGUGGGAGCCAAAACAGGUGGGCGCCUGUGCAGAAAGCAACAUGGAUGCAGCUGGAGGCCAUUAUCCUAAGUGAAUUAAUGAAAGAACAGAAAACCAAGAAAGGCAUGUUCUCACUUAUAAGUGGGAGCUAAGCAUUGAGUACUCAUGGACAUAAAGGUGGCAAAAAUACACCCUGGAGACUACUAGAGAGGGGAGGGAGUGAGGGGGGCAAGGGUUGAGAAACUAAUUGUUGGGUACUACACUUACCACCUGGGUAAUGGGAUCAUUUGCAUCUCAAACCUCUGCAUCACAAAAUAUACCCAUGUAACAAACCUGUGCAUGUACUCCCUGAAUCUAAAAUAAAAGCUGAAAUUAUAAAAUAAAAAUAGAACAAUCA
rnacentral:lncRNA from 1 species